UCAAUUCUACGAAACACCACUCAACAGAUGAAUUGGAACAAAUGUUCAUAUGUUAAAUCUAAAAGAAAAUCAGCAACCGUGACUACCACAUCUAUAAGGUGUACAGGAAAGUGCUGCAUUUACACUCUCUCAAUACACUGACAAAAAAAGAAGAGACAUAGGGAACCAAAUUGGUGCAGAUAUAGUAAACAAAUGGAAAGCAAAGAAGAUGAGUAUUGCAAACCAAAAAUUGACAACAUAGCUCCGCACACAACGCAAUCUAAUGGCCUUAGAAGUCUGCUGCGGGUGAAGCUGGGCACCAACUAUGAACUGCCCAGUCAUGUUGGUUUUUGAAAGCUGAAAGUUGUAAUAUUUUGCUUCGU